rnacentral:rRNA from 1 species
UACGUAGGGGCAAGCGUUAUCCGGAUUUACUGGGUGUAAAGGGUGCGUAGGUGGUUUCUUAAGUCAGAGGUGAAAGGCUACGGCUCAACCGUAGUAAGCCUUUGAAACUGGGAAACUUGAGUGCAGGAGAGGAGAGUGGAAUUCCUAGUGUAGCGGUGAAAUGCGUAGAUAUUAGGAGGAAUACCAGUGGCGAAGGCGACUUUCUGGACUUAUACUGACACUGAGGAACGAAAGCGUGGGGAGCAAACAGGAUUAAGAUACCCUGGUAGUCCCUGAGCGGGCU